rnacentral:rRNA from 1 species
UUUUAUGGAGAGUUUGAUCCUGGCUCAGAGUGAACGCUGGCGGCGUGCCUAAUACAUGCAAGUCGAACGAUGAAGCUUCUAGCUUGCUAGAAGUGGAUUAGUGGCGCACGGGUGAGUAAGGUAUAGUUAAUCUGCCCUACACAAGAGGA